rnacentral:rRNA from 1 species
AAGUCGAGAAGAGACGAAAGUCGGGCUUAGUGAUCCUACGGCACAGAGUGGAAUGGCCGUAGCUUACCGGAUAAAAGCUACCCCGGGGAUAACAGGCUAGUCUUGCCCAAGAGUUCAAAUCGACGGCAAGGCUCGGCACCUCGAUGUCGGCUCAUCGCAUCCUGGGGCAGAAUCGUGUCCCAAGGGUUGGGCUGUUCGCCCAUUAAAGCGGUACGUGAGCUGGGUUCAGACCGUCGUGAGACAGGUCGGUCUCUAUCCGCUAUGGGCGGUGGGAAUUUGCGAGGAGUUGCCCCUAGUACGAGAGGACCGGGGUGGACGAAGCGCUCGUGCAUCAGUUGUCGCGCCGGCGGCAUAGCUGAGUAGCGACCUUCGGAGAGGAUAACCGCUGAAAGCAUCUAAGUGGGAAGCCAUCCUCAAGACGAGAUUCCCCAUUGGUAGAACCAAGUAAGACCGCUGGGAGACUACCAGUUAGAUAGGCGGGGGGGGUAAGCGCAGCAAUGCGUGUAGCUGACCCGUACUAAUGGUCGAGGGCUUUCCGUA